rfam:Enterococcus saccharolyticus ATCC 43076 genomic scaffold acpML-supercont1.1, whole genome shotgun sequence.
GUUCGUCUUCAGGGGCAGGGUGUAAUUCCCGACCGGUGGUUAUAGUCCACGACCCGCUUUUUAUAAGUGGCUGAAUCGGUGAAAUUCCGAUACCGACAGUAUAGUCUGGAUAAAGAAGAUAGGG